UGACAAAAAUUAUAGAAAUCCUUUGGGUUGCUGGAGCUAUUCACGCAAAAGACAUCAACCUGGCUUCCAUUUCUUUAUUUCAAUCUGUCAAUCAGACCUCUGCAAGCAUCGCUACUACACCAAAGAUGUCAAACAGAACAACCAAAAUACUUGGUGGAUUACUUCAAGUUUAGGAAGGGUAGAGACUCUUCUGGUGAAGCUUGGAGUUUGCUGCUCUUUAUUGCAGUUCUGGUAGCAACCUUGAGCUUGCAAGUAGGAAUUAACCCUCCAGAAUGUGUUUGGCAAGACAAUUAUACACCAGUGUUUGGCAAGACAAUUAUACACCA
rnacentral:misc_RNA from 1 species